CAGCCGCCGCGGUAAUACGUAGGGUGCAAGCGUUAAUCGGAAUUACUGGGCGUAAAGCGUGCGCAGGCGGUUAUAUAAGUCAGAUGUGAAAUCCCCGGGCUCAACCUGGGAACUGCAUUUGAGACUGUAUGGCUAGAGUGUGUCAGAGGGGGGUAGAAUUCCACGUGUAGCAGUGAAAUGCGUAGAUAUGUGGAGGAAUACCGAUGGCGAAGGCAGCCCCCUGGGAUAACACUGACGCUCAUGCACGAAAGCGUGGGGAGCAAACAGGAUUAGAUACCCCAGUAGUCCCUGUCUCUUAUAC
rnacentral:rRNA from 1 species